UAUGUACAAAGCCCAAGGUUUUGAGGAGGGGAACAGAGGGUCACCUGCACAGACAGCAGGGGGUCCGUGGGCAUCAGUCUGGAUCCCUGGGGUUCUCUCCCUCCCUGGUUUCUUUAAUGACCACAGUCAGGAAACCAUGAUGGCAACUUGACCUACCUGCAGAGGUUGUGGGUGAGGGGGGAUUCAUCUGAGAAGGUCUGUGGAAGAAAGUAAAUGAACAGGAAAAGGAGUGGGGGAGAGGGGAAUGACCCUGAGAAGUUGUGGCUGCAGGAAGGGGAAAGUGAGCUUGAGAAGGACUGAAGGGAAGGGUAAAAGGAGAAUAAUGGGAUUUCAGGGGGAGGGAUUCUGUCUUCAAGGAGCCUGGUGAGCUGGAUGUCUGCUGGGGACCAAUGGAGAGAACGCCGGGAUUGGCUGGAGGGAGACUCUCCACCGAGGUUGAGCACUGACUUCAGGAGCCAUGGCUGGUGAGCAGGGGCUCCCCUUUGCCAAGAUUCAGCGCUACUUCCUGAUUCAUCCCUGAGGACUCCAAGGGUGGAGAACGGACUUCUGAGAGGUGGCCUGGCUUCCAUCUCGGCCUCUUGCUCCUCUGAGAACCAAGCCUCUUAGACGGAAGGUCCCUGGGAAGGCGCUCCCUAGAAGCAGGGGGAGGGAUUCUGUCUUCAAGGAGCCUGGUGAGCUGGAUCUCUGCUGGGGACCAAUGGAGAGAACGGCGGGAUUGGCUGGAGGGAGAUUCUCCACCGAGGCUGAGCACUGACUUCAGGAGCCAUGGCUGGUCAGCAGGGGCUCUACUUUGCCAAGAUUCAGCUCUACUUCCUGAUUCAUCCCUGAGGACUCCGAGGGUGGAGAACGAACAUCUGAGAGGGAGACCAGUGAAGAGACUGUCUGCUGGGGACCAAUGGAGGGAGCUGCGGGAUUGGCUGGAGGAAGACUGCAGUAUUACCAAGGUGGCGCUGACGUCACCAGCCACUGAUGCUCAGCAGAGGGCGGCCCAGCUUGGCAGGCUCAGCUCCGAUUGGCUGCUGCCUCCCUGAGGAAGCUGAGAGUCUGGAACAAGUAAGUGAGAAGUGAGAGGCUGGAAUCCACCCAAACUCCUCCCCCCCCACCCCCACCACCCGGCUUGGGCUCCCUAGCAUGGGAGCAAAGUGACCAGGAAA